rnacentral:rRNA from 1 species
AUUAUUAUAAGUAAAAUCUGCUCAAUGAAAAUAAAUAGCCGCAGAAUAUUAACUGUGCUAAGGUAGCAUAAUCAUUUACCUUCUAAUUAAGGGUUUGUAUGAAUGAUUUUACAUUUAAAUUACUUUUUCAUAAAAUAUUAUUGAACUUAAAUUAAUUAUAAAAAUGUAUUUAUAACUAAAAAAGACGAUAAGACCCUAUUGAACUUUACUAAAGUUUAGCUGGGGAAGCUAAUUAAAUAUAAUUUUGAUUUUAAAGAAAAAAAUUCUAAUAUAAUUAAUUUCAAAAAGUUACCAUAGGGAUAACAGCGUAAUACAAUUUUAAAGCUCUUAUUAAAAAUUAAGCUUACGACCUCGAUGUUGAAUUAAGUUUCUUUAAAACGCAAUAGUAUUAAAAGUAGGUCUGU